AAUGAGGACUAGUAUCAAUGGCACCACGAGGAUUUUACUGUCUCCCCACUCCAAUCAGUGAAACUGAUCUCCCCGUGAAGAAGCGGGGAUACUUUUAUAAGACGAGAAGACCCCAUGGAGCUUUAAAUCCGACAGCACCUAUUAUUUAUAUACCCUCGUAUACACCUAGCUAUUGCUCGUUUGGUUUUAGGUUGGGGUGACCAUGGAGUAAAAAACAACCUCCACGAAGGAAGGAAUAAAAUCUUUAUCAAAGAACCACAAUUCUAUGAAUUAGAAAACUAAUUUUUAAUGAUCCGUUAUUCGAUCAACGAACCAAGUUACCC
rnacentral:rRNA from 1 species